UACAGAGGUCUCAAGCGUUUGUUCGGAUUCAUUGGGCGUUAAAGGGUGCGUGAGGCGGCGGAGUGAGUUGGAUGUGAAAUCCCAGGGCUUUAACCCUGGAACUGCAUUCAAUACUGCUUUGCUAGAGUACUGGAGAGGAGAUUGGAAUUCACGGUGUAGCAGUGAAAUGCGUAGAUAUCGUGAGGAAGACCAGUGGCGAAGGCGAAUCUCUGGACAGUAACUGACGCUGAGGCACGAAGGCUAGGGGAGCAAACGGG
rnacentral:rRNA from 1 species